rnacentral:rRNA from 1 species
UACGUAGGGGGCAAGCGUUGUCCGGAUUUAUUGGGCGUAAAGAGCGUGUAGGCGGCCAUACAGGUCCGUUGUGAAAACUGGAGGCUUAACCUCCAGACGUCGAUGGAAACCAUUUGGCUAGAGUCCGGAAGAGGAGAGUGGAAUUCCUGGUGUAGCGGUGAAAUGCGCAGAUAUCAGGAAGAACACCCGUGGCUAAGGCGGCUCUCUAGUACGGUACUGACGCUGAGACGCGAAAGCGUGGGGAGCGAACAGG